GGAAGCUGGCGCCAGUGGUGGCGAACCUGUCUCGAAAACAGGGCCGGGCAGUGCGCCCGAGGGUUCGACUCCUUCAGCUUCCG
rnacentral:tRNA from 1 species